CGGAGUGGACGAACCUCUGGUGUACCGGUUGUCACGCCAGUGGCAUCGCCGGGUAGCUAUGUUCGGAAGAGAUAACCGCUGAAAGCAUCUAAGCGGGAAACUCGCCUUAAGAUGAGAUAUCCCUGGGAACUAGAUUCCCUUGAAGGGUCGUUCGAGACCAGGACGUUGAUAGGUCAGGUGUGUAAGCGCAGUAAUGCGUUCAGCUAACUGAUACUAAUUGCCCGUAAGGCUUGAUCCU
rnacentral:rRNA from 1 species